CGCUGUGCCUCGAGGAUUAGUUUAAACAGCGGGCUAUAAAAGAUGUAACAGAUGCAAACUGUAACACAAGGGCCAUUAACCCUUUCUCUGCCGCCCAGCACGCCCAGUCCCUACACCCUGCACCUAUUGUCUCCGGUGCCACAAGCUUUGCGGAAAACCUGGAAAUUUUGGCCAGAAAUGGUGAGAAGAAAAAGCAUGAAGAAGCCGCGAAGUGUGGGGGAGAAAAAGGUGGAGGCGAAGAAACAGCUCCCGGAGCAAACUGAACAAAACCUCGCCAAGAGUGUCUGGAGGCAGGACCGUUAUUCCUGCCGAGCAGGGGAGAGAAGAGAGACCCUGAAACACGCGCCACCUAUCUUUGUGGGGAGGGAUAAUUGAAGCGCCCUGAGCGUGAGCAUCAUGUGAAAACGUGAUCGCCAAGUUUCUCUCUGGGAAAGGAUCUGGGAUAGAUUAUACCUUGAAGUCUCCGCAAACGCUUUAGUGGAAGAAAUGAAAUUCCACCUCCCUCCCUUCCUCUCUCCCNNNNNNNNNNNNNNNNNNNNNNNNNCCCCCCCCCCGUCAAGCAAGCCUUUGGCAUCAUUAUCCUCAUCACUAAAUCCUGCAGAGUACUGGGCGGAAAACGGUGCACACCAUUCACAGAACUGGAGAACUCCAAGGGGCGAAAGUUAAAGGGAAAGCUCUCGGGUCUUCCAUGCAGAUCUCUUGUCUUAUACAGAUAUCUCUGGUGACUAGGUUUGAGGUGCACGUCAAGUUGUAUGGAUACCUCAAGCACCGUUUUUGGAACUAAAUUCUUGCCCUUUCUCUUAUUACAUUUUUUUUAAAAGAUGCCAGAGCUAGGGGAGGGAAAUGCUACUUGUACACUGCAUCUUAGGAUCUCAGUGUGCAGUGUAUGUGUGUAUGUGUGUGUGUGUGUGUGAGGGGGGGGAGAUUUUCUGGAUUGGAUCCCUAUAUUAAAAGUUUGGCAUUUUAAUAAAGGGUCUCUAGGUUAACAUAGAGCUGUACUAUGCUGGCCAAUCUCUGGACCCCUCUACACCUCAUGCAGACCACAUUACAAAGUGAGGGGACAGGGGCAGGAGGAAGAAGGAGAAAGGUCAGAGGAACUUAGGAUGAAAGAAAGAAGAGGGUGACACUAAACUGUGUGGGGUCUAAGUUUUGAAGUGCAUAUUUUUGAUAUUGCAAUUAAACUAAAAUUAAAAAGAAAAGACUCCACCUUUGCUCUGAAGGGAUUGGUUAUGCAAAUAUGGAAGGGAUUUCCUGGAGAAUACAGCUUUCUACUGUAUGGUUAAUUAAAUAAUCACUCAAAAA
ensembl:antisense Zeb2os zinc finger E-box binding homeobox 2, opposite strand